GGCCGGUUCAGUCAAAUCGUUUCAGAAUCAUUAUUUGGUCUGCUGAUAUCCUUAUCGCGAUGAACAUGGAGCAUGGCAAGACCGCACAAUCUCUCGCCACUCACGCAUGCUCUUUUCCAAGUUUUCAGUCGUUUCAGGGCAGUCUGUGUUUCCAAAGGUAGCACAUCAUCAUCAAUUCGGUAGCAGCAUUGGUAGUAACAGUUUUGUUUGUAAAAGCGAAUUAAGCUUUUACAACAUGUAAGCACCAUCAAACAGUCGCAGUUACAAAAUAUUAAACUCACUAUUAUGCUGUCAAAAAGUAGACAAACUAGGGAUAUAAUGAGAUAAGAUACAUGUGUAUGAUUCUAUCUAUAGAAUUAGUAUAUAUGAAUUGGUACAGGGGAAUUGGAAUAGAGUUUUUGACGUUUACAUGUAGGUCCGUAAUUUCAAAUUAUUUCUGGAAAUAGUUAGUGGUAUUUUAAUUCAGAAUCUAUAAAUUUAGGGGUUAGGGGUUGGGGUGUCCGAUUCCGAAACCCCCAAUAUAAAGAAACGAAAUUCCGUAGUCCCGAAUAAGUAAAGACAAAAUUCUGUGUUAAAGGUUCUACCAUUCCUCAAUAAUAUCAAAUUGGAAUAUGGGAUAUUCUUUAAUUUUUUAAGGUUAAAGAAACAUGGAUAAAAAUUAAUCCAUGCAUGUUUCAUAUUAUUUUUAUCUUAUUUAUCUGUAAAGAGAAAGAUUAAAGUUCGUGAAAUAAAUACGCAAACAGGACUGCCCCCUUGCGAUGCCCAGUACUUGAUUUGUCAAAAGUUGGUGAAACGGAUAAAUGAAUACGCAGAGGGGACUGUCCCCUUCCGAAGACCAGUACUUGAUUUGGCAGUCUACUUAUCGUUUUUGGAUUGUUCUAAUGAAGUUAUAUGCAAUACUCAGACUCUGUUCACAAAAAAAACUAGUUUACUAGAAUUAUUCCUAAUUUACCGUCAGUGUCGCUUUUCCUUUUUCUGCAAGAGCCUGUUUUUAACUAUAGAGAUCCCUGAUGAUUAUCGUUUCUAUGUUAAAGUAAUCGAGAAACAUCACCCGUUGAGAUGCCGCUGAGUU
rnacentral:lncRNA from 1 species